rnacentral:lncRNA from 1 species
CUGCCCUCCGCCCCCGUUGCUCUCCCUCAGUGGCCGCUGCGGGGAAUAGCGCUACCCCCACGGAGCACACUUGUCGCAAGGCGUCCUUCUCACGCAGUCGUUGCAAUUAAUUCUGCUAUUGAGCCAGUGGAGUUCGGUGAAGUCUCGUGAGGGCCAUAUAGAGCGGACCCCGAGCGAUGUGCUCGAGUGCAAAAAAGUGGAUAGCGUGAGAUAGCCUCAAACAGACGAUCUUGCAUUGGGCAGUAGAGACAGCCGGCGGUGAAGGGGAAGAUGAGAAUGCAACGGCCGCCAGCUGAAAGGAGAGCCACGCUGCUGCCCGUGGCAAUCGUUCUUGGGAGCUGGCGUUUCUAUCCAAUCUCUUAGGCACACUGUAUGCGCCCGCUUUCUCGCGGGGCGCGCGCAAACGCGUUUCCGGCGUUUGAGGUCGCAAGCUGCUGAUGGGAAAAACUGUUCUGCUCUGUCGAACAGCGGUGUAUUCGUCAUGGCGCGUAAACUGCACUAUCGUGAAGAGGACAGACUUGUACGUUGCCUCAGUAUCGACCUCUGUUGGAUUCGCUCAGUUUUGAGGAGUGGUCAUACCACGCCUAUUGCGACAGGCGCCCACACCCUGUUGAGCAGGCACGUACCUGGGAACCGAGAAAUAACAGCUUUGGUAUAUCUGUGAGUUGGCGGUUUCUAUACUGGCCCACCGAAAAGCAUAUUCGGGCUGAAUGCUUUAGUGGAUUCUUCACUAACAUCCGCGUCUUGUUUCUCACCCAAAUAAGCCAGUUCGCCACGGCACAACUACCCCACCCCAGCCCGCUACUCGUCUAAGCGACGAGUCCACCAGGUUGACGAGCAGCCGCUAUUACCUUCUUGCAACCUCUGCUGAAGGGUAACUACCGUUGUUUAUGUGGGUCAGCAUCCGCGCCGGCCUACCAAUUCCACUGUUUGGUUAGUACGUCGUUGGGGCUCCGUACAUGGCUCGCAUCGCCAUCACUUUGGUGACUGACUACCUUAUCGUGCAUCGCGUGAAUUUACGGCCACAUGCAACACCCACGUGUGGCACAUGUUCACCGGAGAACUGAUGGCAGUGAACAGAUCAAGUCGUCCGUUUCCUAAAAAUUGACACUCUGGAGCUACUCGUACCACCAUUUGCGAUACUCUCUACAGCGUCAAACCUGCUGCAUUGGAAAAGCCCGUCUGAACCGUCCAGCCACACACGCGUGUAUCCCUCGCGCCAAUACGGCCGUUUCUGGAGAGGUAACAGCGUAGCAGCGUCGUCCUCUUCUCCCUCACAGUCUGCCGGGACUUCGACUGGGGGUUCGUUCGCUCGAUACGUCGCGCUGGGCACACCAGGCACGUCUGCGCUAGUUGGCUGUACACCUCGCCCAUCCUCUUCUCCCUCGAUCUGUGUUGCCCAUAUCGCGGAUGGACAUCGCCGCUCUGUUUCGUCUUCCUGCUCCUGCCGGAUCUCACUGCGCCUCUCGCUCGAGGCUGUUCUCGGUGCCCCCUUUUGUACCGCACUCUUUUCAAAAAAACUCGCCGCGCCUGGAGCACUGCUACGGAGGUUGCAUCUGGAAAGCUCAGCAUCCCUGUCUAAGCUAUGACUACUGACUACAGCAAGUUCUUGGUCGCACCCUGCCUCUGUUUCGGCUCGUCGUUGCCGCUUGUGUCCCGCGGGGGCUGGCGCCGACUUCCCGUCAACAGCGUCUGAGUCACGUAAACACGUUGCCUUCCCGCAGAACUCUACGCCCUCUGGCAGGUGCACACUGGCAGGCAAGCGCAUGCCCCAGGUCUCCGCCCUGCGCAGGAAAUACAGAACGACAGCAAGCACGACUACAGUACGGAAAACACCCUACACGGCCUCUGUAUUAUGGAGCAUGAUGGCAGAACUGCAUGGAUGUGAGCAUACGCAAAAAACGUGUAUGAUGGCUUUCACGCUAGAUCACGCUUACCUGCAAGGGACACAUGGGUACAUAGAAACACAGGUGCUCCGCAACUACUCGCGUCACUGCAUUCCCGACACCACCAUUGCUCUCUGACCUGCAUGACCUUUUCACCUAACCCACGUGGGGUUGCGAUGGAGAGAAAUGGGGUGGGCUGUUGCGUAACACAUUAGCAGUAGGAACACGUGAAUCACGGCUAUGAAUUCGGAGCGGAACACAUCUACGGAAAAGCGUGAGUCGUGGGACCACCCACCAGGAACUUUCAAGUUGCAGCCCCAGAAGGAUCUGUUCUCUCAGACAGGACGACUAAAUCACGAAAUCACUACCGAGUCGCAAACCAAACCGUAAGCUGCUGGCAACCCACCCCCCGGUAAAUUCACAGACUCUCCCAACGACGUCGGCGCUCCAGAAAACAGUCGAUCGCAGGAGAUGGUUACCCGCGGCGCAGGUGGGACGCAGCAGAGAAGAAAGAACCAGGAAAAAGAAAAGUCGGCAGUGCAUGCUGAAAGCAACAGGGCCCAGCUGCGGGGCUCAAACCGGCCGAAGCGCCAACGUUUCCUGGGGACUUACGGUUUGCCGACGAGGCCGAACUCGGCGUGGCCAAUCAGAAGAGUCUCUGGACCGCCUGGUUCACCUUGCGACGCGAAACGUCUACCAUCGGAGCGACACAUCUCGCCGGUCCUCUUCCCUUUCGCGGACACGCGCGCCUCACCCGACGAACCGGGAGAAGGCGGAAACGAAAAAGAAGAAGGCGAAGAUGAACAGGAAGGAAGACAACAGGAAGAGGUGGCCACGGUUUGAGGCGGGUGUCGAUCGAGUAGCACGUCUAGCGCCGUAGUGAUGUGGCGGGCCAGAAGCCCCGUACCAGCCCCCACUUCAAGAAUUCGAAGAGGAGACGGCGCACGCCGGCGCUGUCGCCCAGGCGCCUCUGCCGUUCCAGACCUUGCCUGGAGUGUCUUUUCCUGUUCCUCGCUUCCGUUAUGCGCGGAAGGACCGCCUGCGCUUUCGUGGCCGUUUUCGACGACUUCCACAGCGCCGAUUCUCUGGCAAAUCCGCCGAUGCAGAUAGGUAGCGAGAAGAUUAACAAGCUCCUCCCUGCACACACACACAUAAAAACGAGUAGAAGCAAGCCGGGAAAAGACGACGAAAUUCCACGGGUAUGUGAAUUGUGCAUUCCACUUGUUUUCCUCUCAAACCUACGAAAACCCUGUCUGUCGACCGAAGGACCGGAACAGCCACUGCCGACUAUCGCUCCCGGUCUGUGCAAAUGUCCGCCUUUCUACAAGGCGCCCCCUUAUUCCCGCCAUCCGACUUGCGCAUGGAUAUGCUAACCAGCCGUCUCUCGCCACCACGACGUCCCAACGGAGAGCCCUCCCCGUGCUCCUGGCGAAUGCAGUAGAGAACGAAAGAUAGGGGUGAAAGAGGGUCAACGGACAACGCAGAAAUGUCGCACACGGCCACAGAGAAAAACGGUUGGGCUACAGCAGUGGUGUGCUGCUGAAAAGAUGGAAUCUCCGAAACGGAAUAGACACACGUACGUGUACACCUCGUAGAACGGGAAGGAAGGUGGAUUCGCGCAGAACCACCACCAGGCGUCGUCCGGAGUGACCGCUGUCCCUUUGGCGUCUUCCAGAGUCUCCUCUGUUUCCUGAAUGUGACUCCUUUGCUCGGCGUCGCUGUCUCUUCCCUGUUCAUCUUGUCUCUCUUCUUCACAUGGCCGUUCGCGUUCUUCGCCGUCAUUGCCGCAUCCAUCUUGUUCCUCUUUCGAGUCUCCACAGGCUCCACUCCCGUUCGUCUCGGCCUUGUGGAGAUCCGCCUGAAUCGCUGCAAGCACUUCUUGGUAUUUCGGAAGGUGUAGGGCCUCGCGCAUGCGUUGAAACAGAGAGGCCAUUGAGGGGUACGCGCCUCGGAUCUUCCGUUCCUUGCUUUCGCUAGCCUUUCGCCUCCUCUCCUCGCCAACCGCUGUCUCCUUGGGGCCCUCCAUUUUCGCGCCCUCCCUUUUUUCACACUCUCCCGUUCUCUACUUCUGUUCUCCUCUUCUUCGUCAUUUCCUCGUUCCGUUCCUCAGUUGAUUCCCUUGUGCACAGCGAUGGAAACUCCUCCGGAUGUUCCCCGGCGCGUCUCGUGCUAGCGACUCAAGAAAACAAGAGGUCACAAGCAUACGGCUU